CAGAGCAUGUCCUGGUGUGUUUGGGUGUUGGUGUGGCAGAGCCUGUCCUGGUGUGUGUGUUUUUGGGUGUCAAUGUGGCAGAGCCCAUCCUGAUGUUUUGGUUGUUGAUGUGGCAGAGCCUGUCCUGGUGUGUGUGUUUGGUCAUCUGUUUCCUGGCACUGUAGAAAUAAAUUUAACUAUUUAAUUUUUACCAUUUCAGAGAUAAAGCACCCUCCUUUGUAGAUCACUUCAGAGGACAAACCUUUCCAGGCCCAAAAAUCCGUGAGAGGCCCAAAAAUCAGAGAAGGAGGAAAGAAGAAAAAAGACAAGCAUUAGAAGAACAAAAGUGAUACAAUGUUGCUGGAACAUGCAUUUAACAAACCUCCAUUAUACUUAUUAAUGCUCUUCUGCAUGUGUGUUUGUAAAUGGUCUGCAAUGUAUAUACUGAUCUUUACUUAAAGGUCAUGGGUUUUCAGAAUAAAACCUUAAACAAA